rnacentral:snoRNA from 1 species
UUCAGAUGAGGAGCAAUAGCACUGGGCACUGAAUAAAUCAUGAGUGACAAUGCUUUUUUUGGAGGGCCUCAGAAACCCUCCGUGACUGAUUCA